AUGGAAGAAUUCGUUGAAGUUAACCAGAUAUCUGAUUUUGUAUCGUACCUAAGAAGUAUCGAAUGGCGUGACCCCUGGUUAAUUGCAUUGAUAUCAUUUCACAUAAUAAUUACUGUCACUUGUUUCUCCACCAGGAAUUAUGGCAAUUUUCAAGUUAUACUUUUUAUCAUACUCCUUUUGCUAGUGUAUUUUUCGGAGAAUAUAAAUGAGCUCGCUGCAAGAAAUUGGGCAUUAUUUUCAAGACAACAAUACUUUGAUAGUAAAGGCCUAUUUAUAUCAGUGGUGUUUUCGAUUCCUAUAUUGUUAAACUGCAUGAUAAUGGUGGGAUCCUGGCUGUACCAAUCUACUCAAAUAAUGACUAAUUUAAAAAAAGCACAGUUAAGGCAGCGCCUCAAGGAGAUGAACUCGAUAAGAGAACAGCAGCAACACGUUAAAUCUGAUUAAAAAAAGAAGCGAUUCUCGUCAAAAAUUAUGUCAAUUAACUUUACAACGCAAUGGCCUAGCUAAAUACGAUGAGGCUGGACUGGGGCAUCGAA
rnacentral:misc_RNA from 1 species